GACGAACGCUGGCGGCGUGCUUAACACAUGCAAGUCGAACGGAAAGGCCCUGCUUGCAGGGUACUCGAGUGGCGAACGGGUGAGUAACACGUGGGUGAUCUGCCCUGCACUUCGGGAUAAGCCUGGGAAACUGGGUCUAAUACCGGAUAGGAGCCAUUUUUAGUGUGAUGGUUGGAAAGUUUUUUCGGUGUAGGAUGAGCUCGCGGCCUAUCAGCUUGUUGGUGGGGUAAUGGCCUACCAAGGCGGCGACGGGUAGCCGGCCUGAGAGGGUGGACGGCCACAUUGGGACUGAGAUACGGCCCAGACUCCUACGGGAGGCAGAAGUGGGGAAUAUUGCACAAUGGGCGCAAGCCUGAUGCAGCGACGCCGCGUGGGGGAUGACGGCCUUCGGGUUGUAAACUCCUUUCGCUAGGGACGAAGCUUUUUGUGACGGUACCUAGAUAAGAAGCACCGGCUAACUACGUG
rnacentral:rRNA from 1 species